GCUGUAAUUACCUCCAUUUUACAGAUCAGAAAACAAUGUUUGGAGAAUGAGAUACUUCUAAGGUUAAACAAGAGGACAAAGAUUCCUAAGGUAAAGCCUUGUCAACAGAGAAUUAUGUGGAUUUCAAUACCAAUAAAUUACUGGAGAAACAAAAACUGAAGAGGAAGGAAAAACCAACUACAGAAAGAAGUUAUACUCAGAAUAAGUGAUAAGAAAAGCCACAGAAUUUCUCCAGUCAGAAUGAAGAGUGAUCCUGUCAUGAUGACGACCCCUAAAGCUGUGGAGGGUUCGGGAGUCAACUUCCAAAGUCUGACAGACAACGGGAACAGACCGCAAACUCGGAGUAUUAAUACCAGUGGCUCAGAGGACAAGAGAGACAGUGAACCAGGAGAAAAAGACUUCUAGAGAACAUCAAAUAAACAGCAAUGGACAUCACUGAAGAUGGGGCCUAAGCAAAUUUCCAGCAGGGGGCAGGAUGGCCUCCAUGGGGCACUGCACAGGGCUCAAGAGAGUGGAGUCAGACUACAGGUGGCAAAUGCUGUUUCCAUCACUUACUAUGUGACCUUUGGCAAACAAUGUCCCCUUCUGUGCCUUAGCCUCCUCAUCUGUAGAAUGAGAACAACUGAACCUAACUUACAAGGUUGUGGCGAAGAUCAAAUGAUAAAUAGCACUCAAAAAGUAUUACAUAUUAUAUUUUUUUCAUGGAGCUUUUAAAAUAAUAUCAACAUUUCAUGGUCUUCCUUUAUUCUUAUGUGUCAUGGCAAGGUAAGAAAAAAAUGAUAAUAAUAAUUAUCUUAUCGAAAAACAGUUCAUUUAAUCCUUCAAAAGUCCUAAUAAGAAUUAUUACAGCAUCUUCUAGGUGGGGAAACUGAGACUCAGUUAAGUGCCUUAAACAUGGCCACAAAGCCAGUGAUGUCAUGAAGAUGCAAAUUCAGUUCUCCUAAAUCGUAAGUUUUGUAACCAUUCUGUUCUACUCCAUUUUUCCCAUCCACCAGAGUAGGCAGGGAGAUAUCUAGGUUGAUAGGUGUUGAUGUGGUACUGUGAGCCCCUCAAGGAGAGGAGCCACUUCUUAAUCACUUCCGUAACGCUGUUGUACCACAGACCUGACACACUAUGGGUGGUCUGUCAUGGUCCACUAAAUGAAUGGAGACACACAUCCUACAGGGAGGCGAGCAUAGAAUCAAACUCAAUGAGGUGGAGGGCCAUUGGCUUCGUGUUCCCCUGAUUUUCUGUGAUUUCUACUGAGUUUUCCUUUUUAAAAAUCACACAAAACUGGUCACAUUUUUCCCAUGUUUGGUCCUAUAUUUCUGCUAAUUGCUUCAUUUUCUGAAUGCUGAACCAACCAUAUUUACCUUUUUUUUAAGCCCUAAAUGUUUCAUUAAAAUCAGUUGCUUUGGGUCUAAUAAGUCAAACACAUGUAAUACAGCCGUUUAAAGCAUUACCCAAGGUAAAUGUUUACAGAAUCCUGAAAUAUUAUUAAUUCAAACAUUUGAUUUACCUAGCGAUAUAUGUCAUGAGCUUAUUUAUUUAUUUAAACAUUGUGCUUAAUGAAGGAGUUAGUUCUUUAUCCCAAUGUUUAAUUCAUAGCAGCAGCUUUAAAUAUUUAUGAAGUUUCCUGUCGUUUUUUGUUUAGUUAAUAGACUGAAUGGUUCAGUUCAUUGGCUAAGAGAAAGCAGUGAAAUUUCAGCAAGAGAAAAGUUCUCUACCUCUUGAAAAAUGUGUUUAAAGAAAAUAAGACUGGGCAUGGUGGCUCACACCUGUAAUCCCAGCAAUCUGGGAGACUGAGGCAGGUAGAUCACCUAAGGUCAGGAGUUCGAGACCAGCCUGACCAACAUGGUGAAACCCCAUCUCUACUAAAAAUACAAAAACUAGCCGGGCGUGGUGGCAGGUGCCUGUAAUCCUAGUUACUCAGGAGGCUGAGGAAGGAGAAUCACUUGAGCCCAGGAGGUGGAUGUUGCAGUGAGCCGAGAUCGCGCCAUUGCACUCUAGCCUGGGCAACAAGAGUGAAACUCCAUCUCAAAACAAAAAAAAAAAAAAAAAAAAAGGAAAAAGAAAAGAAUAAAAAUUUUCAAAAAAAAAUGUAAGGUCAUUGAUUCCCUUGUGUUACCAUAAAUUAACUAGGUAGCUUUCCCUGGCGUGUUGCUCUUUUGUAGGAUUUGCAUGAGGGGCCCCUUAGGCAUUUCAUCACUAAUAAUAAACUUGACUUUUUUACUCAUCAGAUCACUCUAGCUUUGACUUGGAAAGCAAGAGAAAGGAUUCAAAAGCUUAGUCAUUAAUGUCAAGCCUCAGCAUGUCAAGUUACCUCUCUAACAUGUUUCCAUGUAUGAAAAAUAGGGGUGUCUACCUCCUAGAGGUCAUCUAAUAAAUAAUUACAGAGCAUAAUUUCUGAGAUAUAACAUGUAUACACUAAGUAGCUAAAUUUUCAAACUAAAGCAAAUUAAAGGUUAUAAAACCUGAUCUCCAAAUUUAAGAGGAGAAAUUUGAAUCCACGAUGAGAGAUCAUAAAGAAUUGACAAAGGUUGCUCGAUGCUGUGAGGAAAAGGAAGUGAAUAUGAAAUGAGGUCAACAGAGAACAAUGUAUUACAUAAAGCCUACUGCUUAUUUACAGAAGUAGAGGAGCAUGGAACAGAAAUGGAACUUAAGGUUUUAUCUACUUAGACACCUGCCUCAGAGUAGUGAAUACAAAUCUUACUUUUUCAACCAUGGGAAAGACUUGUAGAAAUUUAACAAUGAGUCCAUACCUUCUAGAAGACAAACGGACUAAAAAAGAGUUUCUAUAGAUGAGUAUAUGCAUAUUUGCAUAAAAAAAUACAUGGACAGAUUAACAAUAAUGUCUAAAGCAUGCAACCUAAAUCAAAGGUGAUUUCAUAUAUUUAUUUGAUCUAAUAUAAGUUCACGAUCAGGAAAGACUGAACAGGAAAACUGAUCUUGAGCUAGUCUCUGAAGAAUAGAUUAAAGUUUCCUUGGCAAAUAUGGAACAACAGAGGGGUAGAAAUGGAGAGGUCAUUUUAAACUUUGGGCACAACUUGAAUAUAAUUAAGAAGGUAGGUGAAGGUAAAUUAGUUAAACAGAGAAGAAAAUGGCAGAGGGAGUUUUGUUUUGAAAGCUCUCAAGUGGAGAUGAAUUAUAUUUCAUUCCACUGUUUGAGUCAACAACUUAAAAGCCAACAAUGACUUCAUUUUGUUUAAUUAGAUUCUACUGUCCUUCAAUUUAAAACCUUUCCAUAUUUUGUGAUGAAGACUGUCACUUUGAAAACAUACUUAUUGGCCAGGCACAGUGGCUCAUACCUGUAAUCCCAGCACUUUGGGAGGCUGAGGCAGGCGGAUCACAAGGUCAGGAGUUCGAGACCAGCCUGGCCAACGUGGUGAAGCCCCGUCUCUACUAAAAAUAUAAAAAAUUAGCCAGGCAUGGUGGCAUGUGCCUGCAAUCCCUGCUACUCGGGAGGCUGAGGCAGGAGACUCACUUAAACCCAGGAGGUGGAGGUUGCAGUGAGCCAAGAUGGUGCCUGGGUGACAGAGCGAGAUUCCAUCUCGAGAAAAACAAAAAACAAACACACACAAAAAACCAUACUUUUCCUGAGGAUAGUCUGGCAGAGUGGAUCAUCAUUUUAGGCCACACUUGCAUACUCUUUUACUUUUCCCAUUAGGUAUAAACACAGAUUUUCAAAAAUAUACAAGAAGGCCAGGCACAGUGGCUCAUGCCUGUAAUCCUAGUGUUUUGGAAGGCUGAGGUGGGUGGAUCACCUGAGGAGAGGAGUUCAAGACAAGCCUGGCCAAGAUGGUGAAACCCCAUCUCUACCAAAAAUACAAAAAUCAGCCGGGCGUGGUGGUGGGCACCUAUAAUCCCAG
rnacentral:lncRNA from 10 species